UCUCCGUUGGUGAACCAGCGGAGGGAUCAUUAUCGAGUUUAUAACUCCCAAACCCUAUGUGAACUUACCACUUGUUGCUUCGGCGCGCGCUUCGGCGCCGCCGAGGACACUUAAACUCUUUGUUUUUAUAAGCAUUUCUGAGUGGCCGAAAGGCAAAAUACAAGUGAAUCAAAACUUUCAACAACGGAUCUCUUGGUUCUG
rnacentral:misc_RNA from 1 species